rnacentral:rRNA from 1 species
UACAGAGGGUGCAAGCGUUGUUCGGAAUUAUUGGGCGUAAAGCGCGUGUAGGUGGAUUGGUGUGUCAGAUGUGAAAUCCCUGGGCUCAACCCAGGAACUGCACCUGAAACUACCAGUCUUGAGUGGUGGAGAGGGAAGUGGAAUUCCUGGUGUAGAGGUGAAAUUCGUAGAUAUCAGGAGGAACACCAGUGGCGAAGGCGGCUUCCUGGACACCAACUGACGCUGAGACGCGAAAGCGUGGGGAGCAAACAGG